CCUACGGGUGGCAGCAGUGGGGAAUAUUGGACAAUUGGGGGAACCCUGAUCCAGCCAUGCCGCGUGUGUGAAGAAGGCCCUCGGGUUGUAAAGCACUUUCAGUGAGGAAGAACGCCUGGUGGUUAAUACCCAUCAGGAAAGACAUCACUCACAGAAGAAGCACCGGCUAACUCCGUGCCAGCAGCCGCGGUAAUACGGAGGGUGCGAGCGUUAAUCGGAAUUACUGGGCGUAAAGCGCGCGUAGGUGGCUUGAUAAGCCGGUUGUGAAAGCCCCGGGCUCAACCUGGGAACGGCAUCCGGAACUGUCAAGCUAGAGUGCAGGAGAGGAAGGUAGAAUUCCCGGUGUAGCGGUGAAAUGCGUAGAGAUCGGGAGGAAUACCAGUGGCGAAGGCGGCCUUCUGGACUGACACUGACACUGAGGUGCGAAAGCGUGGGUAGCAAACAGGAUUAGAUACCCGUGUAGUC
rnacentral:rRNA from 1 species